rnacentral:rRNA from 1 species
AGCAGCCGCGGUAAUUCCAGCUCCAAUAGCGUAUAUUAAAGUUGCUGCAGUUAAAAAGCUCGUAGUUGAAUUUCGGGAUCAAUAUGUUGGUCGUGCCUCGGUACGUACUAGCUUAUUGGUUUCUCCCUUCUGACGAACCAUGAUGUCAUUUAUUUGGUGUUAUGGGAAAUCAGGACUGUUACUUUGAAAAAAUUAGAGUGUUUAAAGCAGGCUCACGCUUGAAUACAUUAGCAUGGAAUAAUGAAAUAGGACGUUUGAUUCUAUUUUGUUGGUUUCUAGGAUCGACGUAAUGAUUAAUAGGGAUAGUUGGGGGCAUUAGUAUUCAAUUGUCAGAGGUGAAAUUCUUGGAUUUAUUGAAGACUAACUACUGCGAAAGCAUUUGCCAAGGAUGUUUUCAUUAAUCAAGAACGAAAGUUAGGGGAUCGAAGACGAUCAGAUACCGUCGUAGUCUUAACCAUAAACUAUGCCGACUAGGGAUCGGAUGAUGUUAAUUUUUAAUGUACUCAUUC